AUCUUAUCAAGAGAGACUGAGGGAUUCGGACCGAAGACGUCUCAGCAACCAGCUCCAAAUGGAGUCAGGUGCUACAUCCUACGGACGUAAUCGUCCGAGAGAUAAGAA
rnacentral:ncRNA from 2 species